rnacentral:rRNA from 1 species
GACGAACGCUGGCGGCGUGCUUAACACAUGCAAGUCGAACGCUGACGCUCAGCUUUUGUUGGGUGGAUGAGUGGCGAACGGGUGAGUAACACGUGAGUAACCUGCCCCCUUCUUUGGGAUAACGCCCGGAAACGGGUGCUAAUACUGGAUAUUCACUGGUCUUCGCAUGGGGGUUGGUGGAAAGGGUUUUUCUGGUGGGGGAUGGGCUCGCGGCCUAUCAGCUUGUUGGGGGGGUGAUGGCCUCACAAGGCUUUGACGGGUAGCCGGGCUGAGAGGGUGACCGGUCACAUUGGGACGGAGAUACGGCCCAGACUACGACGGGGGGCAGAAGUGGGGAAUAAGGCACAAUGGGCGAAAGACUGAUGCAGCGACGCCGCGGGAGGGAUGGAGGCCGUCGGGUUGUGAACCUCUUUCGCUAAUGGUCAAGCCGCAACAAUGGUUGUGGUGAGGGUAGUGGGUAAAGAAGCGCCGGCUAACUACGUG